GACGAACGCUGGCGGCGUGCCUAAUACAUGCAAGUAGAACGCUGAAGGAGGAGCUUGCUCUUCUGGAUGAGUUGCGAACGGGUGAGUAACGCGUAGGUAACCUGCCUGGUAGCGGGGGAUAACUAUUGGAAACGAUAGCUAAUACCGCAUAACAGUAGAUGUUGCAUGACAUUUGCUUAAAAGGUGCAAUUGCAUCACUACCAGAUGGACCUGCGUUGUAUUAGCUAGUUGGUGGGGUAACGGCUCACCAAGGCGACGAUACAUAGCCGACCUGAGAGGGUGAUCGGCCACACUGGGACUGAGACACGGCCCAGACUCCUACGGGAGGCAGCAGUAGGGAAUCUUCGGCAAUGGACGGAAGUCUGACCGAGCAACGCCGCGUGAGUGAAGAAGGGUUUCGGAUCGUAAAGCUCUGUUGUAAGAGAAGAACGAGUGUGAGAGUGGAAAGUUCACACUGUGACGGUAGCUUACCAGAAAGGGACGGCUAACUACGUG
rnacentral:rRNA from 1 species